rnacentral:rRNA from 1 species
UUGAGCGAUUUACUUCGGUAAAGAGCGGCGGACGGGUGAGUAACGCGUGGGUAACCUACCCUGUACACACGGAUAACAUACCGAAAGGUAUGCUAAUACGGGAUAAUAUAUUUGAGAGGCAUCUCUUGAAUAUCAAAGGUGAGCCAGUACAGGAUGGACCCGCGUCUGAUUAGCUAGUUGGUAAGGUAACGGCUUACCAAGGCGACGAUCAGUAGCCGACCUGAGAGGGUGAUCGGCCACAUUGGAACUGAGACACGGUCCAAACUCCUACGGGAGGCAGCAGUGGGGAAUAUUGCACAAUGGGCGAAAGCCGGAUGCAGCAACGCCGCGUGAGUGAUGAAGGCCUUCGGGUCGGAAAACUCUGUCCUCAAGGAAGAUAAUGACGGUACUUGAGGAGGAAGCCCCGGCUAACUACGUGCCAGCAGCCGCGGUAAUACGUAGGGGGCUAGCGUUAUCCGGAUUUACUGGGCGUAAAGGGUGCGUAGGCGGUCUUUCAAGUCAGGAGUGAAAGGCUACG